UGGUAUUUAGUUUAAAAAAACAAAUGAUUUCGACUCAUUAAACUAUGGUUUACACCAUAAAUACCAU
rnacentral:tRNA from 1 species